GGCGGCGUGCCUAAUACAUGCAAGUCGAGCGGACAGAUGGGAGCUUGCUCCCUGAUGUUAGCGGCGGACGGGUGAGUAACACGUGGGUAACCUGCCUGUAAGACUGGGAUAACUCCGGGAAACCGGGGCUAUACCGGAUGCUUGUUUGAACCGCAUGGUUCAGACAUAAGGUGGCUUCGGCUACCACUUACAGAUGGACCCGCGGCGCAUUAGCUAGUUGGUGAGGUAACGGCUCACCAAGGCGACGAUGCGUAGCCGACCUGAGAGGGUGAUCGGCCACACUGGGACUGAGACACGGCCCAGACUCCUACGGGAGGCAGCAGUAGGGAAUCUUCCGCAAUGGACGAAAGUCUGACGGAGCAACGCC
rnacentral:rRNA from 1 species